rnacentral:rRNA from 1 species
GAGUUUGAUCGUGGCUCAGGACAAACGCUGGCGGCGUGCUUAACACAUGCAAGUCGAACGGUUUACCUUCGGGUAGAUAGUGGCGGACGGGUGAGUAACACGUAGUUGACCUACCCCUCGGCGGGGAAUAACUCCUCGAAAGAGGUGCUAAUACCGCAUACGCUCACAGUUGUUGGAUUGUGAGGAAACGCGAGAGCGACCGAGGGAGGGGACUGCGGCGGAUUAGCUAGUUGGUGGGGUAAAGGCCUACCAAGGCGACGAUCCGUAGCUGGUCUGAGAGGGCGACCGGCCACACUGGGACUGAGACACGGCCCAGACUCCUACGGGAGGCAGCAGUGGGGAAUAUUGCGCAAUGGGCGAAAGCCUGACGCAGCAACGCCGCGUGAGGGAUGACGGCCU